GCGCCCGUAGCUCAACUGGAUAGAGCACCAGACUACGGAUCUGGGGGUUGUGGGUUCAAAUCCUGCCGGGCGCGCCA
rnacentral:tRNA from 1 species